UUUGGAAUGACAAGUUUGAAAAGUCUUCAUUGGGUGCAGCACCUGGAACCAAACCGAACAAGUCAUUUAUCACAGCGUGUAAUUGCUUUUGCAGCGCAUCAGACUCAAACAGUUCAUUAGUCUGGCAUUUGGAAAACAAGAACCAAAAACAAACAACAAAAAAGAUUUGUUUUCCGUCGGAACGCAAUGAAAUAAUGGUAGUUCCAGAGCCCUGUGGAAGAUGCAAUACGUUUGCUACAGCUGCUGCUGCAUAUUGCAGUGAUAGCAAAAACCAAAGUACCAUCAGCAACGUUACCCAGGAGAAAAUAAAUGAACAACUAUUGCCAUUGCUAACAGCGACUCUUGAGAAACUGAAACAUUUAUCCUUUCUUUGCAGAAAUUCGAUGAAAUUGUCCUGAUAGUGUCUCUAUCCCAACCAAAAAUAGGCCAUUGAUUUAUAAUUUGGCUUAUAUAAACACAAACUAAGAAACAAACACAAACCUCAUACCAAAUUGGACCAACAUACAAGUACACUUCACUAUAAUAGAAUAUGACAGAUCCUUGAGUAUCAAAGAUGGUUCAGCAACGUGUUCUUCUGUGGGACAUCAUAAAAUGGCUGCAAUAAGGGCUUUAUUUUCCUCUUCUGCUAGAAAACCAUGUCAAAAUUUAGACGUAUGAAAGAAAUCUAAUUCUCCUAACAUUCCCCAAUAAAGAAUUGUAUCUGGCCAAAUUGUCCAGUAAUUAAGAAAGGGCCUGUUAAGAUUUCCCCUACUCUAUGCAUACACCCCUUGCAGGUUAUGUGGCGUAUGGAUGAGAUGAGGCCUUUGCCCCAACUUUGUGGAACUUGCUCUCCCCAGAUGUACAUGUAGUUGCUACCUUGUAUGGAGGCAGAUUGGCUAACAAAGAGAGAAUAUGAAACAAGUAAAAUAUGCAAACAAUAGCAGGAGAUGUGCUUAGCCUUAGAGAAAUCUCCUGCUGUAAAUGCUAGCUGACACAAUAAGUUGGCAUGACCUGCUAGCCUCAGGCUGGUAAAAACCAGUUCUUAUAUGUUCUCAAAAUGUUUAUGUAGUUAGCGGAUGCACUGAAUCUUCUAAAUCAAUGUUUUUCAA